GAAUCAGUUUUGGAGAUACAGGAAACUCAUACCAAGAACAUACACCUUUCAAUCUGAUGCAGUCAAAGUAAGUGCUCACUUGUUGAAUCUUCAUUUGCAGAUGUGCUAUUUUUACCUGAAUCCUAUGACAUUGUACUGAUUUUUCAUAUGGCAACUUGGCUAUCAGCCCAACUUAUAACAUCAGCAUCACUAAAGUAAAUGUGGGUAGGUAUGAUUCUGAUCUUGAAUUCACUGCAAUUUUCGAAUCUGGUGCCUCAUUUACAUACCUAAAUGAACCAGCGUAUUCCUUUAUAUCUGAGAGUGUGAGUAUCUUAAACAAUUUGACUUGACAUUUACCAAAGUUUAAUGCUCUAUCAUUUUGGCACUUAACCCUUUUAUGGUAAUUUUUGCAGUUCAAUAACCAGACAAAAGACAAGCCCUAUUCAUUUGGUUAUGGUUUACCCUUUAAAUAUUGUUAUGAGAUAAGGUAUUGCCCUUCUUGUUUUGUAUGUGUGCAAUCCCUUAAGCAUAAGCACUGACUUUCAUUGUAAAUUCAGCUCAUAUCAAGACGAUCUGGAGGUUCCAAUUCUAAAUCUAGUUAUGGAAGGUGGAAGCCAAUUUAAUGUCA
rnacentral:misc_RNA from 1 species